GACGAACGCUGGCGGCGUGCCUAAUACAUGCAAGUAGAACGCUGAAGGAGGAGCUUGCUUCUCUGGAUGAGUUGCGAACGGGUGAGUAACGCGUAGGUAACCUGCCUGGUAGCGGGGGAUAACUAUUGGAAACGAUAGCUAAUACCGCAUAAGAGUAGAUGUUGCAUGACAUUUGCUUAAAAGGUGCAAUUGCAUCACUACCAGAUGGACCUGCGUUGUAUUAGCUAGUUGGUGGGGUAACGGCUUACCAAGGCGACGAUACAUAGCCGACCUGAGAGGGUGAUCGGCCACACUGGGACUGAGACACGGCCCAGACUCCUACGGGAGGCAGCAGUAGGGAAUCUUCGGCAAUGGACGGAAGUCUGACCGAGCAACGCCGCGUGAGUGAAGAAGGUUUUCGGAUUGUAAAGCUCUGUUGUAAGAGAAGAACGAGUGUGAGAGUGGAAAGUUCACACUGUGACGGUAUCUUACCAGAAAGGGACGGCUAACUACGUG
rnacentral:rRNA from 1 species